GUUCUGGGAUUUACAGCUUCUGGUCAGCUAGAUGUCUAUAUUUGCCAAUAGCUGACUCACCUACAGACAUUAGCACCACAGCAUACAUAUCGCUUUCAUAUACCUGAUGAAGCAAAGAACUACUUGUUUGCAGAGUGAUGUGAAUAUUGGCUUUUGAUUUUGCAACAAAUACACACUAUUUCUCUUUAUGUCUACAGAUUUCUCUCUGUUGGUCAUCAGAUGAAAC